rnacentral:tRNA from 1 species
GGCGAUUUAGCUCAGCGGUAUAAGUACCUGCCUUGUAAGCAGGUGGUCGUGAGUUCAAUUCUUGGUACCA